UACGUAGGGGGCAAGCGUUGUCCGGAAUCAUUGGGCGUAAAGAGCGUGUAGGCGGCCAGAUAAGUCCGCUGUGAAAUCUCGAGGCUCAACUUCGAGCUGUCGGUGGAAACUGUCUGGCUAGAGUCCGGAAGAGGAGAAUGGAAUUCCUGGUGUAGCGGUGAAAUGCGCAGAUAUCAGGAGGAACACCAAUGGCGAAGGCAGCUCGCUGGGACGUGACUGACGCUGAGACGCGAAAGCGUGGGGAGCAAACAGG
rnacentral:rRNA from 1 species